UUAAGUUAUUAAGGGCGCACGGUGGAUGCCUUGGCACUAGAAGCCGAUGAAGGACGUUACUAACGACGAUAUGCUUUGGGGAGCUGUAAGUAAGCUUUGAUCCAGAGAUUUCCGAAUGGGGAAACCCAGCAUGAGUUAUGUCAUGUUAUCGAUAUGUGAAUACAUAGCAUAUCAGAAGGCACACCCGGAGAACUGAAACAUCUUAGUACCCGGAGGAAGAGAAAGAGAAUUCGAUUCCCUUAGUAGCGGCGAGCGAAACGGGAAGAGCCCAAACCAACAAGCUUGCUUGUUGGGGUUGUAGGACACUCUAUACGGAGUUACAAAGGACGACAUUAGACGAAUCAUCUGGAAAGAUGAAUCAAAGAAGGUAAUAAUCCUGUAGUCGAAAAUGUUGUCUCUCUUGAGUGGAUCCUGAGUACGACGGAGCACGUGAAAUUCCGUCGGAAUCUGGGAGGACCAUCUCCUAAGGCUAAAUACUCUCUAGUGACCGAUAGUGAACCAGUACCGUGAGGGAAAGGUGAAAAGCACCCCGGAAGGGGAGUGAAAUAGAACCUGAAACCGUGUGCUUACAAGUAGUCAGAGCCCGUUAAUGGGUGAUGGCGUGCCUUUUGUAGAAUGAACCGGCGAGUUACGAUUUGAUGCAAGGUUAAGCAGUAAAUGUGGAGCCGUAGCGAAAGCGAGUCUGAAUAGGGCGUUUAGUAUUUGGUCGUAGACCCGAAACCAGGUGAUCUACCCUUGGUCAGGUUGAAGUUCAGGUAACACUGAAUGGAGGACCGAACCGACUUACGUUGAAAAGUGAGCGGAUGAACUGAGGGUAGCGGAGAAAUUCCAAUCGAACCUGGAGAUAGCUGGUUCUCUCCGAAAUAGCUUUAGGGCUAGCCUCAAGUGAUGAUUAUUGGAGGUAGAGCACUGUUUGGACGAGGGGCCCCUCUCGGGUUACCGAAUUCAGACAAACUCCGAAUGCCAAUUAAUUUAACUUGGGAGUCAGAACAUGGGUGAUAAGGUCCGUGUUCGAAAGGGAAACAGCCCAGACCACCAGCUAAGGUCCCAAAAUAUAUGUUAAGUGGAAAAGGAUGUGGCGUUGCCCAGACAACUAGGAUGUUGGCUUAGAAGCAGCCAUCAUUUAAAGAGUGCGUAAUAGCUCACUAGUCGAGUGACACUGCGCCGAAAAUGUACCGGGGCUAAACAUAUUACCGAAGCUGUGGAUUGUCCUUUGGACAAUGGUAGGAGAGCGUUCUAAGGGCGUUGAAGCAUGAUCGUAAGGACAUGUGGAGCGCUUAGAAGUGAGAAUGCCGGUGUGAGUAGCGAAAGACGGGUGAGAAUCCCGUCCACCGAUUGACUAAGGUUUCCAGAGGAAGGCUCGUCCGCUCUGGGUUAGUCGGGUCCUAAGCUGAGGCCGACAGGCGUAGGCGAUGGAUAACAGGUUGAUAUUCCUGUACCACCUAUAAUCGUUUUAAUCGAUGGGGGGACGCAGUAGGAUAGGCGAAGCGUGCGAUUGGAUUGCACGUCUAAGCAGUAAGGCUGAGUAUUAGGCAAAUCCGGUACUCAUUAAGGCUGAGCUGUGAUGGGGAGAAGACAUUGUGUCUUCGAGUCGUUGAUUUCACACUGCCGAGAAAAGCCUCUAGAUAGAAAAUAGGUGCCCGUACCGCAAACCGACACAGGUAGUCAAGAUGAGAAUUCUAAGGUGAGCGAGCGAACUCUCGUUAAGGAACUCGGCAAAAUGACCCCGUAACUUCGGGAGAAGGGGUGCUCUUUAGGGUUAACGCCCAGAAGAGCCGCAGUGAAUAGGCCCAAGCGACUGUUUAUCAAAAACACAGGUCUCUGCUAAACCGUAAGGUGAUGUAUAGGGGCUGACGCCUGCCCGGUGCUGGAAGGUUAAGAGGAGUGGUUAGCUUCUGCGAAGCUACGAAUCGAAGCCCCAGUAAACGGCGGCCGUAACUAUAACGGUCCUAAGGUAGCGAAAUUCCUUGUCGGGUAAGUUCCGACCCGCACGAAAGGCGUAACGAUUUGGGCACUGUCUCAACGAGAGACUCGGUGAAAUCAUAGUACCUGUGAAGAUGCAGGUUACCCGCGACAGGACGGAAAGACCCCGUGGAGCUUUACUGUAGCCUGAUAUUGAAAUUCGGCACAGCUUGUACAGGAUAGGUAGGAGCCUUUGAAACGUGAGCGCUAGCUUACGUGGAGGCGCUGGUGGGAUACUACCCUAGCUGUGUUGGCUUUCUAACCCGCACCACUUAUCGUGGUGGGAGACAGUGUCAGGCGGGCAGUUUGACUGGGGCGGUCGCCUCCUAAAAGGUAACGGAGGCGCUCAAAGGUUCCCUCAGAAUGGUUGGAAAUCAUUCAUAGAGUGUAAAGGCAUAAGGGAGCUUGACUGCGAGACCUACAAGUCGAGCAGGGUCGAAAGACGGACUUAGUGAUCCGGUGGUUCCGCAUGGAAGGGCCAUCGCUCAACGGAUAAAAGCUACCCCGGGGAUAACAGGCUUAUCUCCCCCAAGAGUUCACAUCGACGGGGAGGUUUGGCACCUCGAUGUCGGCUCAUCGCAUCCUGGGGCUGUAGUCGGUCCUAAGGGUUGGGCUGUUCGCCCAUUAAAGCGGUACGCGAGCUGGGUUCAGAACGUCGUGAGACAGUUCGGUCCCUAUCCGUCGUGGGCGUAGGAAAUUUGAGAGGAGCUGUCCUUAGUACGAGAGGACCGGGAUGGACAUACCUCUGGUGUACCAGUUGUCGUGCCAACGGCAUAGCUGGGUAGCUAUGUGUGGACGGGAUAAGUGCUGAAAGCAUCUAAGCAUGAAGCCCCCCUCAAGAUGAGAUUUCCCAACUUCGGUUAUAAGAUCCCUCAAAGAUGAUGAGGUUAAUAGGUUCGAGGUGGAAGCAUGGUGACAUGUGGAGCUGACGAAUACUAAUCGAUCGAAGACUUAAUCAA
rnacentral:rRNA from 1 species